ensembl:lncRNA
UUGUAAUCUGUCUACACUGUGGUUGACCUCUAGUGUUAGUUGUACUUGAAAUACAGAUAUUUGUUGGAUUUUAUGGAGACAGCAUGAGAGCUGAGCUCUUUAGGGCAGUCAUCUUGUUGACACUCAGAGUUACAGAGGAGGAUGAGAGUGGAGAUGCCACAAAAAGCAGCUUUUGAGAGAGCUGAGCAUCACUGAAGUCAAGUAGUUGGAUUUGUGGAAACCUAGGCUUUCACAGCAAAUCUUUGAUUCUCUUUCUCAGUUUCUCUGUGAGGCUGAUCAGUUCUGGCACUGAGAUUUGUAUACUCAGCAAGUAGAAUACUGCAGCGUUACAAAUCAAAUCUUGCAAAGGAAGGCCCUGCAACCAUACUCGGGUGGAGAAGAUGUUUGAUUUGAAGUCAAUGGCUGUCAGUCCUGCCAGACAGUUUAUUUUUUCUAGAGAAGUCUUGAUUACUUGCCAACUUGAAAGCAAAAGAUAUAGCUCCAUGUCUGUCUUGUGUGGGGGGGCACAGGCAUAGAUGCAGUACUCCAGCUGGGACUUCACAAGGGUACAGCAGAGGACAAUCAUCUCUCUUGUCCUGCUGGCCACCUCUCUUGCCGCAGCCCAGGAUACUGCUGGCCUUCCAGUAUGCAAGCUCACAGUGUUGGUUUGCAUCAAGCUUUCCCUCCUCCAGAAUCCCUGUCUCUUCUCUGACAUUGCGCAGGCUGGAAGCGUGGGUCUAGCAGAGAGGAAAACAGGCUGGCUUCUGUUGUCUUCUGCUCUGUCUUUAUUUAUUUGCUGUGCACUUAAGUCAAGUCAAUGCAGCUCCUAUGCUGUCUGUCUGUUCCAUGAUCUCUUCAAAGCAGGGACUGUCUUGCCCUGUGCAUUUUAAACACAGCUAAUGUAAUAAGAUUCUAUCUUGUCGGGUCCUGUUGCUAUAUAAAUGCCAAUAAAAAUGAUGUUGUUUAACUCUGG